GAAUCUGCUUUGGAAUUCAACUCCUGUGAGCCAUGCAGCAAGCUGUCACGCAGACCACACAAAUCAUGUCCCUGCAUCUAACAGAGUUCCCCAAGAGCAUGAGGAAGUCUCUUAAUGAAAAGACGGAAGUCCCCAAAAUGGAGUCACUCAAUGCUGAAGUUCCGCAUCACCAAACUGUCGCUCCCCGUCUUCGUGGAGGAACGACACAGGACCCUGCGCUGUUCUUUUGUCUGCUCGGCCCUCCCCGGGUUUGCUGCUGGUUCUUCCCGGGUUGGCUACCGACCCUUCCACCUCCGUGGAAGGGCGGCUCCCCCUGCCACUUUCCCCACUUCCGCGGGGGAGCGGCACACCGCCGGCCGGCUCUCUCGGGGGCUGCACAGGUGUUCCUUCAGAUGUUCCCCUUAGAUGUUCCUGGUGCAUGUUGUCUCUCUCCUCCUUUAUAGUCCUCUUCCACCAAUCCCAACUCUGCUACCCACACGCCGAGUACGCUGCUCUCCUUCAAUCAGGAGCAGGAUCAGCUCCUGCAGGUCAUCACUCAAGUUGGCGAGAGGCAGCUGCGUAGAAGCUGUUUACUCCUCUCCCAGUGCCAUAUUGUGGGAGAGCAGAUGCAUAGAAUAAGUCUUAAUUCGAGUAACUUAGUCUAGUCCGAGUUGCUCCCCACACUCUAUGAUGAGAAUUACAAAAUCUUAAAGAAAGAAAUAGAAGAGGAUACCAAAAAAUGGAAAAAUCUUCCAUGCUCACGAUUGGAAUAAUCAAUAUCAUCAAAAUGUACAUUCUUCCAAAAGGAAUUUAUAGAUUCAAUGUGAUACCUGGUGCAUGUUGUCUCUCUCCUCCUUUAUAGUCCUCUUCCACCAAUCCCAACUCUGCUACCCACACGCCGAGUACGCUGCUCUCCUCCAAUCAGGAGCAGGUCCUACAGUUUGUUGGUUGAACUGGAGGCAGCUGUGUAGAAGCUGUUACUCCCUUCUCAGCGCCAUAUUGUGGGAGAGCAGAUGCAUAGAAUAAGUCUUAAUUCCAGUAACAGUCUAGUCCGAGUUGCUCCCCACACAAACCAACACCCAAGUACACACGUGAGUACUGCAAAAGCAUCAUGGAAAAUGGAAUUAAAAGAUAUGUUAAUAUGGGGGGUAAAACUUGCAGUCCAUGCAUAUCAGUGAUCUUCAAAAAGUUCAUGGAUGGUCAGAGUUGUGGGGCAGUAGGUUAAGUGGCUUUGUGAUGCCAGAUCCCAUAUUGGAACUAUGGUUCAAGUUCUGGCUACUCUGCUUCCCAUCUAGCUCCCUACCAAUAUCUCUGAAAAGGCAGUGGAACGUGGUCCAAGUAUUUGUUUCCCUGCCAACUCUGUUGGAAACCUGGAUGGUCUUCCUGGCUCCUGACUGUGGCCUGGCCCAUUUCUCUCUCUCUCUCUCUCUCUCUCUCUCUUAUACUCUGCCUUUCACAUAAAUUUUUAAAAGUUCAUGGAAAUAAACAUUAUGAAAAACUAUGCA
rnacentral:lncRNA from 1 species